rnacentral:rRNA from 1 species
CAGGCCUAACACAUGCAAGUCGAGCGGUAACACAAGGGAGCUUGCUCCUGAGGUGACGAGCGGCGGACGGGUGAGUAAUGCCUAGGUAUCUGCCCAGUCGAGGGGGAUAACAGUUGGAAACGACUGCUAAUACCGCAUACGUCCUACGGGGGAAAGGAGGGGACCUUCGGGCCUUCCGCGAUUGGAUGAACCUAGGUGGGAUUAGCUAGUUGGUGAGGUAAUGGCUCACCAAGGCGACGAUCCCUAGCUGGUCUGAGAGGAUGAUCAGCCACACUGGAACUGAGACACGGUCCAGACUCCUACGGGAGGCAGCAGUGGGGAAUAUUGCACAAUGGGCGAAAGCCUGAUGCAGCCAUGCCGCGUGUGUGAAGAAGGCCUUCGGGUUGUAAAGCACUUUCAGCGAGGAGGAAAGGUUAGGUCUUAAUACGGCCUAGCUGUGACGUUACUCGCAGAAGAAGCACCGGCUAACUUCGUGCCAGCAGCCGCGGUAAUACGAGGGGUGCAAGCGUUAAUCGGAAUUACUGGGCGUAAAGCGUACGCAGGCGGUUUGUUAAGCAAGAUGUGAAAGCCCCGGGCUCAACCUGGGAACUGCAUUUUGAACUGGCAAACUAGAGUCUUGUAGAGGGGGGUAGAAUUUCAGGUGUAGCGGUGAAAUGCGUAGAGAUCUGAGGGAAUACCGGUGGCGAAGGCGGCCCCCUGGACAAAGACUGACGCUCAGGUACGAAAGCGUGGGGAGCAAACAGGAUUAGA